rnacentral:rRNA from 1 species
UACGUAGGGUCCAAGCGUUGUCCGGAUUUAUUGGGCGUAAAGCGCUCGUAGGCGGUUUCGUAAGUCGGAUGUGAAAACUCAGGGCUCAACCCGGAGACGCCAUCUGAUACUGCGAUGACUUGAGUCUGGUAGGGGAACACGGAAUUCCUGGUGUAGCGGUGAAAUGCGCAGAUAUCAGGAGGAACACCGAUGGCGAAGGCAGUGUUCUGGGCCAGUACUGACGCUGAGGAGCGAAAGCGUGGGGAGCAAACAGG